rnacentral:lncRNA from 1 species
GCGGCGGCCCCUACGUGGAACUGAAGCGCGCGAAGGCGGGGCGCCGAUGGGUCGCCGGUCGGGCACGCGGGUGCGCGACCAGAUUCCGGUCCCUCCCUCGACGUCAAGCGAUGGGUACGCCGCGUUCAGAAAUUCCUCGACCCCAUCUAUCUACCUUGAUUUGAGCUAGAUGCCAUUUCGAUGUUGGAGGUUUGCAGCGAACCCACGCGUGCAGCCCGGCCGAGUUUGAGUAUCCGCCCUUUGUUGGGUCGCAUUACAUCUUUUCUUCAAGAUGUGCUUCUGCAACUGCUUCUAGAUUUAUGCAUCUCUUAGUUGGCGCUGGCAGGGAAAUGCGUGCCUGUACUUGCAUGACAGCAUCCACAUUUGGUCACUGAUAGUUAUUUGUUGGCUGUUACAGGUGUGUACUUCAGUUCACUUCGACUGAAGCUACGGAUUCAAGAAAUCAUCUGGUCUUGAUAGUGCCCUGGACAAGUCCAGAGUCCAUUUGAUUGUGGCAAGCGUCAUCUCGUGGCUGGCUUGGCUUCGUGGGGAACAGACAGAGUUGCCGGAUAAGCUGAAAGGCUCGACAACAAGUCCAGAGCUUAUUAGUACAACUGAAGUCCAAUCAGGUAAGGAAGCAUAUAUGCAUGAUGCUUGUAUGAAAAUCCGAGGUGAAAAGCACUUGGAUAUUUAUUAGCUAUUCCCAUAAAGCAGGAAGCAUGCAAUGUCAUCAGUAUGCUUACAAAAGAAAACAUAAAUAGUGCCCAUCCAAUUCACCCAGAUAAAUCUGUGAGCAGCAACCAACACCAGGGCUAUGCCACAUUAUAUCCGAAAGUGCUGAACAGAGCAGGCUAGUUAUUUUUGACACAUACAUAAACAAGCUAAACUGUUGAGGUGUUACAGACUGGGGGAUGAGAGAAAAUUCCUAAUAAUAAGAGGGAGAACAGUACGCGCAGGGGA